ensembl:lncRNA
AUGAAAAGAGCCUUAGAAAGCUUAAAGGUUUCACAGGGGAGGAGUGACCGUGGAGAGGUCAGAGAAAAGCUUUUUUUUCAACGGGCUGUACCCGGGCAAGAGACGAGUGAAGGUGCCAAGGGCAUUUUAUCACAAACCUCCCAUUAUAAGGCUUUGAUGUCCCGCAGCGCAAAUCUCCAUCAUAACUCAAAGCAGAGGCGUGUGAGCAUGCUCCGGACAUCUGUGACAGAUGCAUACAGGACCUGGUGUGACUGUCACAAAACUGUGCAGCUCUAACAACGUCUCGGUGGCCUUAUUAACCACUCGAAAGUCCAGUCGCCACAGCACGGCUGUUUACUUAUUACAAGGCACACAGGAAAUUAAGUCUCUCGCUGUGUAAGUGUUGGGUUUUGUGUGACAACAUGUUGAUCUAUGUGUGCAUGAAUUUUUGUAGCAGUGACCAAUUUUCGAGCAGGGUGCAGGCAUCAGUGUUAUUUUAGUAUCAAUGAGACACUUUUAUGUUUUUUUUUUUUAAUAUUAUUUUAUUAUAGUUUCUAAAAUAUUUUGUGUUUUUUAAUCAUUAGUUACAUUUUUUGUUCUUUUGCUGUUUUGAUAAUUUUUAUUAUGUUUAAAUUUUAGUUAUUUUAGUACAUCAAGUUAAAAUACAUGAAAAUAAUACUGAUGUUGCUUUUUGUAGCUUAUUUUUUAUAUAUUUCAGGUAACAUUUAUAUUCUUUUAAUUAUAUUUAAUUAAAAUAAUAUUUAAUUUAAUUGAUUAUUAUUCAUAAUUAUAUUAUUUGUAUUAUUUUAUUUUAUUUUUUAUGGUUUUAGUUUUAAAUAACUACAAUAACCCUGGCAGGUGUUUAUUUUAAGGUAGAUAUGAUGGUGUUGGUGUAAUUUUUCUCAAAAUUCUGAACUUUUCCCUCUCAAUUCUGAGUUUCUCAAAAUUUUUACAAUUUAAAGUAAGAAUUGCAAGACAUAAACUCAGAAUUGCAAUGAUAUAAACUCUCAAUUGUGAGAAA